rnacentral:tRNA from 1 species
UCUGUAGCUCAGCUGGAUAGAGCAACGGCCUUCUAAGCCGUGGGUCGGGGGUUCGAAUCCCUUCGG